CAAACCGUUUAAGCCUCCGAGGUUGUUAAUUAAUUUAUCAGGAACAGAGAAGGCAGCCACUGCCUGGUGCCGUUUGUCGGCGGGGAGCAGAGCAGAUGCAAAGUGACCCUGCCAAGGAGGGACCGAGAUCAAGGGGCUCCGCUCCGAACGCACGGCAGGGAGGGAGAAGCAUCUGCGCGAACACCCGGGAGAGCUGAGCCUCGGUCCCCAGGCUUCUCGGGAAGGCAGACCUGACAGAUGCUUCGGUAACAGAAAACUGUCUUUGGAUGAUACUGCUUCUUGGUGAAUAAGUGUACACAAAUAAGAGCUAAGCACCACCUUCUGAACCACCGUGACCAUCAAGGGACCACACCCCUGCGCAGGCUGACUUGCACUUGUCCUUCUACUUUUAACUUCUCUGCUUUUUUAACUCAGUGGGUCACACAAAUUAAUAAUGAAAAUAGAUUCUCAUUCAUUUUUGUUGGUCAAAACCAAAUCAAAGGUGUGUGAGAAAGAAGGAUUAUGGAGAAUUAUGCCUGAAGUCAGAGGAGCAGGAAUCAAAACGUGCAGGACCUACUUCUCUUCAGAUCCAGUUAUUUGAAUCAUCAGUUCCUCCAGACCAGAAUUUCCCAGGGCAGUGGGAGAAGCUCUUGGUGAUAAAAUACCUGAGCAUGUUAUUAUGGACACUGAGUAUCCUUUAAAAAUGGUCAUUUAAUUUCUUGUUGAAAGCUGACAAAUUCCAUAGAAAAUAUUACACACUCUUGUUUAUCAAAAUGCCUGUCCCUCUGCUAGACAAAAUAAGUCUCCAACUAAAGUACAGUUCAAGAUGACAUGGAAGAGAAUUUUUCUUAAAGAAGUUGACGAUGUGUGGUAUCGAUUUACUUUUCAUUCUCCAAUUAUAAACAAUUUGCAUUUAUUUUUUUCCUGAUAGUGGAAGGAAAAUAGUAAAGAAAACUAAUUGAGUCAUACUUGCUGGUCCGUUUUUAUUUCAAUUAAGCUAAUAGAGGGCAAGUUAGCUGGAGAGUAGGGUAAGGUUGACUAGAAUUACCAUCCCUAAAGGCAACAGUCAGAUUAUUUUUACCCUGAUCUGCAUUAUCCUCCCCCCACCAGCAAAACCAAAUUCAGCUCCUUUGCAGGGGACGCAGUGGUGCAGAGCGGUGAAUCAUCCCGGACUAAGUUUCUUCUGACAUCUCUGUGCCUCAGCUUCCUCGUCUGUCAGGAGGAAUAGUACCAGACGUGUUGUGAUUUUUAUGUGAAUAAAUGUUUGUGCUACUUAUAUGUUGGAACCCUAUCCCCCAGUGUGACAGUCUUAGGAUGUGGGGUCUCCGGGAGUGGUCAGGGUUAGGCGGGGUUGCCAGGAUGAAGCCCUCGGGAACGGCAUCAGUGCGCUUCUGCUAGGAGAGUCGAGAGAGAGCUGAAGCCCUAGCCCUCUGCCGUGGGAGGGUAGGAGAGGGUGGCAGCCUGCGGUGUGGACGAGGGCCCUCACCACAAUCCAGCCGCGCUGCGUCAGUAACCGCUGUGUAGAAGGCACACAGUCUAGGCACUUGGUGAGGGCAGCGACACUAAGACAAAGGGUUAUAACGCGCUCAGAACGGUGCUUGGUCCAGAGGGACUUUGCCCCUGAA